GGCUGUUUUAAAGUCGCGGUUCCGGUGUUCAGGAUGCCAGGGAUGAUGGGAAGCCUGUUCUUGUUUAUCGGUUUGUACGGAACUUCACCCGCGGUAGAGUACGGCCUGAGAAUUUUGUUCCAGCACCGGUGUGAGGAAAACAUCUGAGCCCAUGAAUUGCCAGACCCUGGAUACCUGAGACACAUCCACUUGCUUCUCAGGUUUGGAGUGCAUAAUGAGGAGAAAUAAAAACAGAAAGAUCUCCAGAAAGAAGCCAUGGUAAGAUUCAAGGUUUCACAGUCCAAGCUAAUGCCUGUGGACACUUGACCAAGUGAUCUGAGAAAAUUGGAUUUCUGGCAAAACAAGUGUACCUAGACUCAGGCAAGGGUGGAGAACAGAGGGCGACUAGAUUAAAUGGAAAGAAUGCCCAGGCAUCCCAUUGCCUCCCUUUGACGUUCCAGAACUUCAUCAAGACAGUGAUGAGCUACAUGUACACCUGGAGGAGGACCAUGCAGAAUACCAUCCAGCGCCAUGAACACUAGUCAGUCAGUCAGUAAUGGUGGGCUUCUUGGUGUGCUCCAGCUCAAUUUUCUCAUGUUUGAUGAUUAGUUCAGGAUCAAGCUCAGAAGCGCACAGCUGCCAGCAAGCAGUCUACUACUGAACUGCACCAUCUCUCCAGCCUGUGCUUACUCUUGAAUAGCCCCAAAGUAGUCAAUGGUAUGGCAAAAUAAACCUCCAUUUCAUUUAGAUUUUUAUAGUAUUUUUUGCCACUUAAAUUAUUUUAUGUAGUUGAGUAUGAUUUUUUUUCCCCCUAAGGAAUUCUAUGUAUCUCAAUUUCAAGAGUCUUCAGCCUUUAUGUUAUACAUAAUUUCCUAUAGAUUUCAAAGUUGCUUUAAUAAAAAGUUUAAUGUUAAAACAGUUGUGGAUUUACAUGUAGUUAUGUGACUACAUUAUCCUUUACCUUUUUUCUCUAAUGAAAUUAUCUUCCAAAAAUAUAUCACAAGCAGAGAAUGGACAUUAAUAUAAUAGAUUAAUCUGAUUCCUGUUUUUUUCCUAGAUAUAGGUACACUCAUAUAUGUGUAUGAGUUUAAUUUUAUGUAAUUUUAUUACGUGUAGGUUUGUGAAUCCAUGACCAUCAUAUUUGGGAUACAGAAUGUUUAGUACCACAAAGAUUCCUUAAAUGUUGUCCUUUUAUAAUCAUACCACCUCUACCUCCUUAUACUCCAUGCCUCUCCUUAGCACUUAAAGAACAUAAAUCUCUCAUAUAUCUCUCUAAUUUUGUACUAUCAAAAAUGUUACAUUACUACCUCUGGUCCACACCCCACAGCUGCCCAGCAUGGUCCCUCAAGCCUGAACCCAGCUUACUUUGCCUUUGGUUGCUCAUGUCACAACCAUUCCAUUCCUUUGCUUCAAGGUGUGGGCCCUGAAAGGAACUGUAUACCUGCUCUGCCCAUGACUGCUUCUGCCUCUACCUCAAUGUACUGUAACUGUUUAACAAGGUUGCUCUGGCUCAGGCUGAGAAAUUGACUCCACCCUUACCCUGACGCCUGGCAUGUCCACAUGUGGUCCUGUGUAGUCAGCAACCCCAGGUAUGGUAAGGAACCUUCCCAUCCCAAGUCCUCAGCCAUUGACCUCUGGCCUCAACCCAAACUCGGUCAGAGACCUUGUCUUUACCCGGAGCCGAGACCCCUUAGCAUGGGUUCUGCCACCUCAGAGGUCUCCCCAAGCUCUAUCGCCUACAAUCCAACUUUGCAUUCUGACCUGGUGGGUAAAAAACCCAUACCAAAAUACAGCUGACAAUGUAAAUCCAGAUGCCCAGGUUACAGCACAAAAACUAGAUAAACUAAACCAAUAUCUAAUUGUUCUCUAAAUCACCAAUCUCAUAAUAAUGUUCCCUAAAGAGAACAAGUUACAAGAAAUUAAAGACACGGAAUUCCAAAGGACAAUACAUGUUCAACAAGCUCAAACCAUUCAGAGAGGGCACAGAAUGAAAUUAAAGACAACAGGAAUAAAAUUCUGGGAGUCCAAGUAUACAAAAACACAGCUCAGCAACACAUGGAACAGCAAGACUGUAAAUUCUCAGUCCAGCUAUGGAUAAUUUAGGAUCCUUUGUAGGUGAGUCAGUCGGUUGGUUGUGGGUCAUAGGUGGUGGUUGUGUCACUUACAUUGCUCUGUCGUUUUAUACAUUUGUUGAAGUGGAUUCCUUUUGACUUUCCUCCUCUUCUGAGCCUAUUAUAUUCUAUUUGCUGCCUAGAGGACCAUUUGGAUGAAGCUGAGCUUAGGGAACUGGUGAAACCUAGUGAUAAUUAUUGAAUGGGUUGCUGAAAUCUCAUCUUGGCUAUGUGUCAACAGGACCAAAACCUUAGUCUUUCCUUAGAUUAUAUGAACAUGCUGGAAAUGGGCUAUCAAAUUUCAGACCUAGUAAAGUCUGUCUACUAUCUGGAGCUUAGAAAAUCUUAAUGAAAUGGAUAUUUUUCUAGAUACCACUUACCAAAGUUAAAUCAACAAAUAUUUAAAUAGUCCCAUAACCCCUAAAGAAAUAGAAGCAGUCAUUUAAACUCUCCCAACCAAAAACAAAACAAAACAAAACAAAACAAAACAGGGACAGAUGGUUUUAGUACAAAAUUCUACUAGACUUUCAAAGAAGAACUAAUUAAUGCUAAUUUUUAGUUGCAUUUUAAAAAUAAUAAUAAAGCAUAUUCUUUUAAGGUCUAUAAAGAAUAGGGGCUCACAGAGACUAAACUGCCCACUAGGGAGCCUGCAUGGGCCUAACCCAGGCUUCCUGCACCUACCUUAUGGUUGCAUAGUUGGUGUUCUUGUGGGACUCCUAACAGUGGGAGCAAGGGCUGUCUCUGACUCUGUUGCCCACCUUUGGGACCCUUUCCUCCUACUGAGUUGUCUUGUCUAGCCUUAAUAGGAGAUGCACUUAGUCUUACUGCAACCUGAUAUGCAAUGGCUGGUUGAUAUCCAUCAAGGCUGGCUAUUUUCUGAAGAGAAAUGGAGAAGGAGUUGAUGGCAGGAGGAGUGAGAUUAAGGAGAGGAGGGAGGGGAAACUGGAGUCAGGAUAUAAAAUAAAUAAACAAAAUGACAAUAAGUCUUAUAUUUUAAAAUACUAAAAUUAAAUUUUCAAGAUCUCAAAUAAUUUUACUGUAUACCUUUGGAAAAAUAAGGCUAAUCCAAACCCCAAGACACUAGAUGGGGAGAAAUAAUUAAGAGCAAGGAAGAAAUUAAUGAAAUAGAAAUGAAAAAAUACAAAGAAUCAGUGAAGACUUGGUUCUUUGAAAAGAUAAAUAAGAUUGACAAACCUCUAGCCAAACC
rnacentral:lncRNA from 1 species